CCUACGGGUGGCAGCAGUAAGGAAUAUUGGUCAAUGGAGGAAACUCUGAACCAGCCAUCCCGCGUGAAGGAUGAAGGGGCUCUGCCUUGUAAACUUCUUUUGUCUGGGGCGACAAAGCUCGAUUUAUCGAGAACUGACGGUACCAGAAGAAUAAGCACCGGCUAACCCCGUGCCAGACGCCGCGGUAAUACGGAGGGUGCAAGCGUCAUCCGGAUUAACUGGGUUGUAGGCGGCCGAGUACGUCAGUGGAGAAAGGCUGUGGCUUAACCAUGGAAUUGCCAUUGAUACUGCAGAGCUUGAAUGAGGUUGAGGUUGGCGGAAUGUGACAUGUAGCGGUGAAAUGCUUAGAUAUGUCAUGGAACACCGAUUGCGAAGGCAGCUGACUGGACCUAUAUUGACGCUGAGGCACGAAAGCGUGGGGAGCGAACAGGAUUAGAUACCCUAGUAGUC
rnacentral:rRNA from 1 species